ACCUGUGACUCCUGGAAUCGGCUGCAACGGGGCUUCCCAGCUGAAGUGUGGGCCUGGAGGAUGACUCAGUGCUGAUUCAUAGAAUCAUAGAAUAGUUAGGGUUGGAAAGGACCUUAAGAUCAUCUAGUUCCACCCCCCUGCCAUGGGCAGGGACACCACACACUAACCCAUGUCACCCAAAUUGGUGAUGUAUUUCUUCUUAAUCUCUGUUCUCUCUAUGCAGUAAUGAUUUGAUUCAUUGCUCAUUUUCCUCUGUACUUUACUUAUAUAUCUCUCUCUCUGAUUUGCAUUAUUCUACUUAUUUACUCUCUAUAGAGAGAAAUAUACCUGAUUUGCUUUAGUGUGCUUCUUUAAUAAACUGUAGCUUGUGGCCGUUUUGUGGUGUACCCUGCCUGUUAGCAGAACAGGCCUAAACCGAACGCCUCACUUGUAAAAAUUGUAUAGAUGAUGCUUUUUCCCAUGCUUAACUAUUUUCCCUCCUUUUUCACCACCAUGGACGAAGACACAACAAUGUUUGAGCCACGGGGUGCUGUGGGAGACCAUAUUUUAAGCUGACUGUCUCAAAGCUUGUUCACAAUCCUGGUGAGCUCACUGUGAGAUGUACAAUUGAGCCAAGCUCAGCUGCUGUGAACAGAUCAUGAGCAAGCAGCCACCCGAAACCAGUCUCGACCAAGGUCAAGGCAGGCACAUCGCUGUGGAGGAUGUGCCUGGGCAUGGGUGAGCCCCAACCUCCCAAGGCAUGUGCAGCCCACAGCAAAUGAUCAGGCGGUGUUGGCAUGCACCCCGCGUGCGCCCCUGGGGACCAGCGUGCCAGGACUGAGAGCAUGCGCAGGAAUGCACUAAGACCCUAUAAAAGACUGUGUGAUCCAACGGCGAGUGGAACCCCCACCACCAAAGUACAGGGAGACUACAGACCAGCGGGAUGCCGCUGGAUCCAUGGGGUGAUUAUCUCUUGCUGCAGCUCUAUCCCGACUGCUUCCCAGAUUUCCUUCUUUUCUAUUUUCUCCCCCUUUCGUAUCGCUGUUUUCAUACUGCAGUAAAUAACUACUUUGUUUAGAUAAGUAAGCAAUAAAUCUCUUUGAUUAGCG
rnacentral:lncRNA from 1 species